AGUGUAGGCGGCUAUUUAAGUCGGAUGUGAAAGCCCAGGGCUCAACCCUGGACGUGCAUUUGAAACAGCAAGACUUGAGUACGGGAGAGGAAAGCGGAAUUCCUGGUGUAGAGGUGAAAUUCGUAGAUAUCAGGAGGAACACCGAUGGCGAAGGCAGCUUUCUGGACCGAUACUGACGCUGAGGCGCGAAGGCGUGGGUAGCGAACAGGAUUAGAUACCCUGGUAGUCC
rnacentral:rRNA from 1 species